AGAGUUUGAUCCUGGCUCAGAUUGAACGCUGGCGGCAUGCCUUACACAUGCAAGUCGAACGGCAGCACGGGGGCAACCCUGGUGGCGAGUGGCGAACGGGUGAGUAAUACAUCGGAACGUGUCCUGUAGUGGGGGAUAGCCCGGCGAAAGCCGGAUUAAUACCGCAUACGAUCUACGGAAGAAAGCGGGGGACCGAAAGGGCCCUCGCGCUAUAGGGGNGGCCGAUGGCAGAUUAGCUAGUUGGUGGGGUAAAGGCCUACCAAGGCGACGAUCUGUAGCUGGUCUGAGAGGACGACCAGCCACACUGGGACUGAGACACGGCCCAGACUCCUACGGGAGGCAGCAGUGGGGAAUUUUGGACAAUGGGGGAAACCCUGAUCCAGCAAUGCCGCGUGUGUGAAGAAGGCCUUCGGGUUGUAAAGCACUUUUGUCCGGAAAGAAA
rnacentral:rRNA from 1 species